AGAUUGAACGCUGGCGGCAGGCCUAACACAUGCAAGUCGAGCGGUAGAGAGGUGCUUGCACCUCUUGAGAGCGGCGGACGGGUGAGUAAUGCCUAGGAAUCUGCCUAGUGGUGGGGGAUAACGUUCGGAAACGGACGCUAAUACCGCAUACGUCCUACGGGAGAAAGCGGGGGACCUUCGGGCCUCGCGCCAUUAGAUGAGCCUAGGUCGGAUUAGCUAGUUGGUGAGGUAAUGGCUCACCAAGGCGACGAUCCGUAACUGGUCUGAGAGGAUGAUCAGUCACACUGGAACUGAGACACGGUCCAGACUCCUACGGGAGGCAGCAGGUGGGAAUAUUGGACAAGUGGGACGAAAGCCUGAUCCAGCCAUGCCGCGUGUGUGAAGAGGUCUUCGGAUUG
rnacentral:rRNA from 1 species